GACGAACGCUGGCGGCGUGCUUAACACAUGCAAGUCGAACGGAAAGGCCCUGCUUGCAGGGUACUCGAGUGGCGAACGGGUGAGUAACACGUGGGUGAUCUGCCCUGCACUUCGGGAUAAGCCUGGGAAACUGGGUCUAAUACCGGAUAUGACCUUCCAUGUAGUGUGGGGGGUGGAAAGAUUUAUCGGUGUGGGAUGAGCCCGCGGCCUAUCAGCUUGUUGGUGGGGUAAUGGCCUACCAAGGCGUCGACGGGUAGCCGGCCUGAGAGGGUGGACGGCCACAUUGGGACUGAGAUAAGGCCCAGACUCGUACGGGAGGCAGCAGUGGGGAAUAUUGCACAAUGGGCGGAAGCCUUAUGCAGCGACGCCGCGUGGGGGAUGACGGCCUUCGUGUUGUAAACCUCUUUCGACAGGGACGAAGCUUCGGUGACGGUACCUGUAUAAGAAGCACCGGCUAACUACGUG
rnacentral:rRNA from 1 species